rnacentral:rRNA from 1 species
GACGAACGCUGGCGGCGUGCUUAACACAUGCAAGUCGAACGGAAAGGCCCUGCUUGCCGGGUACUCGAGUGGCGAACGGGUGAGUAACACGUGGGUGAUCUGCCCUGCACUUCGGGAUAAGCCUGGGAAACUGGGUCUAAUACCGGAUAGGAGCCAUUUUUAGUGUGAUGGUUGGAAAGUUUUUUCGGUGUAGGAUGAGCUCGCGGCCUAUCAGCUUGUUGGUGGGGUAAUGGCCUACCAAGGCGGCGACGGGUAGCCGGCCUGAGAGGGUGGACGGCCACAUUGGGACUGAGAUGCGGCCCAGACUCCUACGGGAGGCAGCAGUGGGGAAUAUUGCACAAUGGGCGCAAGCCUGAUGCAGCGACGCCGCGUGGGGGAUGACGGCCUUCGGGUUGUAAACUCCUUUCGCUAGGGACGAAGCUUUUUGUGACGGUACCUAGAGAAGAAGCACCGGCUAACUACGUG